CUGGAAGCUGGAGCGUUUUGGCAUCGGCCGAGCGUCCAGAGUCAUGUGAGGUAAACAGAGGUCAUAUUUUGGCUCAUUCCCGCUGAUUUGGAGCUCAGGGGGAUCGGGGAUGAUGCCACCUGAUAGUCUGAACGGGGAGGAACGUCGUGAAAGAUUUAACUGGCGUGUUAGGAGGACUGAAUGGGCUUUGUGAGCUCUGCGCAGGAACUCUAUCCAUAAUGCAAAGGAUGACAGAGCUGCCUCUGUUCCCCAACAAGCAUUAGUCCUGAGCCUCUACUUAUGAUGUCUGUGUGCGGCGUCCCUUCAUGAAUGAAUGAUGGCCUGAGCUCGUAUCAAUGGCCGUCCCAUCGCUCUUCGAAGGCCAUUUCUAGAAAUCUCCUUCCAUUGUGGCACGAGCCUUUUGUUUGCAUAUUAUCGCAUUGGUGAGUCUUAUAUAGACACCUUAAGCGAUUAACUAAUGCAAGUUUGCAAUUUGAACCUGCGGCCACACCCUGCUUAAACCCCUGAGCAGCUGCCACAUGCGCUGACUCACCCUCAGACGCAGUAAUGGCCGCCGUGGAGCUGUAGACGGGUACUUUACAGACUUUUCCAAAUGAGGAGGCACAAUCAGAUAAGACGGCGAGUGUCAUCACGGACAUAAGUUUGACUCGCAGGAGAAAGGCGGCAAAGUGUGGGGUCUGAGGGGACAACUAAAGGACGCUUACGUCAAGGUGGUGUCCAGUCAGUAAACACCUUACAACACCCGUAAAUGAAGUGGAGUCAGACAGAGAGGACUUAAACGUGAUGUGAUGAAGUCCUGGACGCUUCAUGAGACCUUUGACUCUUUUAUACAUUAAUCUAAUCAACUCAAAUUUAUGCUUUCUGACUCUUUCCACUAUUUCUACUCAGCUAUGUGACAAACAGCAACCAGAAUUAUAAUCCUUCAAAAUAAAAGCACAGUUCAACAAUGCAGGACAUAAAAAGAAACCUAAAACACUAGACAGAAAAGAUACCAAAAUAAAAGCAUGAUGAACAACCGUUUAACUGAGGUGAUGUCCUUUUAAAGAAAAAUUUUAGACAGAGGAUUGAUGAUUAUCAUGGAUUUUAGUAUUAUUAGAAACACAUAAUGACAUGUAUGGUAAAUGUGUUUAUUAGGAAGGUUUAGGAAGUGAAAUGAUGCAUCUACAAAAGAGGAUUAGGGCCACAAAAAGAGAAAAAAUGAUUACAGGAGGGAGAAUUUUUUUAAUCUCCAUUUUGAGAUUAAACUUUAUUCAUGUUGACUUUAAUCUCGAAAUUUCGACUUUAAUCUCAAAUUUUUAAUUUUUUUAAUCUUGAAAUUUCGACAUUAUUCACAAUAUAUUGACAUUUUGUAACUUCAAAAUUUCGACUUAAUCUCGAAAUUUAAAUUUUUACUCUCGAAAUGUCGACUUCAUUGACAUAAUUUCGAUUUUUUAAUCUCAAAAUUUGACUUUAAUCUCCUUCCUGUAAUUUUUUAUUUUCUCUUCAUGUUGCCUGAUCCUCUUUCGUAUGCACUUCACUUUGACUGAUUGUGUCGUUUUACUUUCAAGUUUUCCUUAAAUAUCAUGAUAACAUUUUUAUUGUGAUAUAUUUGAUAUAAUUAGGAAUAUUAAAAAACUCAAACACAAAACUUUGCUUAAACGUCUUUAGAUUAAUGAGUUGACAGUUCACUAGUUACACUCAGAGUACCUGGAUGUCUAGCCAAUCAGAUUGUAUUGUGGGCGGGACAUAAGGUGAGACAGAUUGGUAAGUCUCAGCACAAGGAUGUUCUAAUAAAAAAUACUCAAACUUUGAUCCAAGUUUACUCUCAUGCGCCCUUUUCUGCUCCUUUACAUUUUUAGCUGCCUGCUGCAGAAACCACAUCAUGUUACAUGUGCCACGCUGCAGAUUCUGGACAGGUGAUACAUUUGACUUUCACAGUAAGGUAAGAUGAGAUUCUCUGUUGAGGAACAAAAACUUGCACAUGCAUGGAACUAAAUUAGCAAAGACACAAGCAGCGACUUGUCUGCAGCAACAUCCACACAAACUGAAGGUCCUUCACAGAAGCUCUGAGCAGUGCUAGCUGUUCCCCUCUGGUUCUGGUCUCUGUGCAAGGCUGAGCUCUUAAAACCACAUUGCAAAGGGAACUAAAGGGACUAAAGAUCCUGCUCCCAGUGGACUCUCUGCACACCAGCAACAUCUGAGCGUGUAUUUUCUGCUUCUGCACCAGUUAUGACCUUUGUGUCGACUGUUACCCGACCUUGUAGAUAUGCUCAUUUUUAAUAAGAACAAGUAUAAGGAAAGGUGGACACAUGUCUAAAAUGAACAAACUGUCUCAAUAAGAUAAGAUCAGUUCGAUUACGUUCUUUAUAAUGAUAAAAAAGCUGGUUAUAUAUCAGUAUCAGUGUUUAAAACCCAAUAUCAAACAUCCCAAAUGUCCACCCAUUCCUCUGAGGUUGUGUUGUAUUCGUUUCUGUUGGUCAGUUCUCAACGUCGGUGUAAGACAGCACCUGCUCGGCCCGUGUCAGCCCACAUCCUGCUGUCCUGUAAUCUACGGCCUGACAGACUUCAUGUCCCUUGUUCCUACAUGAUUUAAACAACUACUGUGAACUGUCAGGUUUCAGCUCCCUCCAGAGUCUCAGUUUCUCGCUCAGGUCUUCGUCUGGUCAUCAGAUCUGUCUAUUACCUCAGCGAGGGCUGCCAGGUUGGCCCCAGCUUCCCUCCACACACACACACACGCUCACACACACAUACACACAAACACCAAACUCCUUUUCUUUCUUCUGCCAAACUUCAUCAAACGGUUAAUAAUUCAGGGUCAACAAGAAGUCCGAACAGCAAACCAAACUGAGGAUUUUCAUUAAACCUCUCUCUCUUUCUCUCUCUCUCUCUCUCUGCAGCUGAUGUGGGUGUAGUGUGAAACUGGACCGAGCUGAUUCCUCUGACAGAGAAGAAGGCGACCGCAUGUCAAAGGAGAGCCGGUGUCAGGCGGAGUCGUGGCCUCUUCAAGUGCUUCCUGGUUAAGGAUUGUGUUGCUGGUUUACUUAAGUCAAAGAUCACUUCUGUGAUUAACGCCAGCUCAGUGGAGGUCACUGAUUUGAUGAGAGCAACAAGUGGUCAGCGGAACGGAGUGGAGGAAACCAUAUCUGACAGAAGACGUUAAUAUAUUUGACAACUAUUGUUAAAAAAAAGAUGUCGGCAGCCCAACUGUAAACUCUGAACUUCAGCAUGAGGGGUGACUUUAAGAAUAAUUGAGUAUAUUUAAUAGUUAUAGUGAUUUCUAAGCAGGUUUACCGUCCCGAUGCAAGAAAUAAAACAUUUUAUCAUUAUACUCUAUAAUAACUUUUUGUCCAUUUUAUGAUUAAUUUUGAGAACAAACAGUCAUAACUGUUAAUUCAUAACACAAUUCAUAACAGACACCACAGCUCUUCUUAACCUUCCUCCUGUGUUAGCCGUCACUACACACCCACUUUGUUAAGGGUCGGUUUUACCCGUGUCUUAAAUCAGCUGCAAAUUACACUAAAACAAUUCUUCAUCAUUAUACUCUUUACUAACUUUUUGUCCAUUUUAGGAUUAAUUUUAAGAACAAGCGGUCAACCUCCAUAACAGACACCAUAGCUCUUGAUAAUCCCAAACAAGUCAAGCAGCCAAUGAUACUGAGAGCAAAUCAGAUGUAAAACUUCAUUUGAGACCCACUAGUGAUCAUGUGUGCAAAAAAACACAUUUUUUACCUGUUCAGACAUUCAUCUUGUUGAAAAGUUUACCUCCCAUCACCUCCUCUGUUCACUGCUCACCUCCUC
rnacentral:lncRNA from 1 species